GACGAACUGUCCUAACGUUGUUCGGAAUCACUGGGCUUAAAGGGCGCGUAGGCGGCUUGCCAAGUCAGGGGUGAAAUCCUGCAGCUUAACUGUAGAAGGGCCUUUGAUACUGGCGAGCUCGAGGGAGGUAGGGGUAUGUGGAACUUCCGGUGGAGCGGUGAAAUGCGUUGAUAUCGGAAGGAACGCCGGUGGCGAAAGCGACGUACUGGACCUCUUCUGACGCUGAGGCGCGAAAGCUAGGGGAGCAAACGGG
rnacentral:rRNA from 1 species